UAAUGCGUGGUUAUCGCCUUUUGAACUUUCAGAUUACAACCCACCGUCGCCUCCAUCGGGCAGUGGGUUCCAUCGCUACAUGAUCUUCAUUUUCAACGAACCCGUGGAUCAGACGAUCAGCCUGACGCCCUCCGAGAAAGCCUCCAGAGGUAAAUGGAUGUUCGAAGACUUCGUCAAACGCUUCAAACUGGGCGUCGCAGUGGCGUCUGCCGAGUUCAUAACCAAGAACGGCAACGAUUUGUAAAAAUGGCCGGCCUCACCGCUGUGACGCUUGUGCUUUCCGCUCUUGCCCGCGACGCCGCUCAAACAUUGCAAAUGCAAUCCUCGCCUCUUUAAGCACAGCUACGCACGCGCACUACAACCAGCUCGCUUGGGCUGCUAUUUUCCCUCGAGGAAUUUUUUUUUUCAAAUGAAGCCACAAACCCCUCCCCCCCCUACAAAAAGCUGAAACGGUGUUAUUUUCAUGAUUUACAGCAACAACAAAAAAGAACCCUAUCAAUCGUGGCGGCGGCAGAAGUUUGCUUCUACAAAUUAGAACUGCUGAUUCGGCACAAGAAUGCACACGUACAUGGGGUCUUAAAUACCCGAGUCCAGAAUGGCAAUGACCUGGCCAAUCCCCCCCCCCACCCCCCGCCUCCCCCGCCUGUUCUCAUGAGUCCAGUGCCUGAUUGCCGUCGAUGCAACCGCUAAUGCCGUCCAGAAUGUCAGGAUGUUGCAAUGUAUGAUGUGAGGGAGGAUGUGGAAUAAUACAAAAUAUUUUAUUUUAAAACAACUGCUGAUUCGGCUGUGAAAUCGCAGCUCCCCUAGCGACGGGGACGAUGGCUCCCAUUCAUUACAGCUUUCAAAUCUCGCUCUCCGUGUCCUGAGCCCCAUAGACCGAAACAACGGGAGCCCCCCGUGUCCUGCGCACUGUGAUGCAGCUUGUGCGGCGGGAAUGCAGUGUGAAUUUGGUUUUGUUUUUUUUUGCUCGUCGUUGCAAGCGUCCCAACAGCUUGCUUCAUAACCGUGACGUUAGCAUUGCCAUUAAAGCAUUUUCGUUAUAGCAUUGUCGUUCGCUUUGUCGUUGGCGUUGCCGUUAGCGUUGCCGUUGUAGCAUUGUUGAUAGCAUUGCCGUUAGCAUUGCCGUUAUGGCAUUGUUGAUAGCAUUGCCGUUAGCAUUACCGUUAUAGAAUUGUUAAUAUGAUUGCCGUUAGCAUUGUCGUUAUGGCAUUGUUGAUAGCAUUGCCGUUAGCAUUGUCGUUAUGGCAUUGUUGAUAGCGUUGCCGUUAGCAUUGCCGUUAUUGCAUUGGUGAUAGCAUUGCCGUUAUGGCAUUGUUGAUAGCAUUGCCGUUAGCAUUGCCGUUAUAGAAUUGUUAAUAGGAUUGCCGUUAGCAUUGUCGUUAUGGCAUUGUUGAUAGCAUUGCCGUUAGCAUUGUCGUUAUGGCAUUGUUGAUAGCAUUGCCGUUAGCAUUGUCGUUAUGGCAUUGUUGAUAGCGUUGCCGUUAGCAUUGCCGUUAUUGCAUUGGUGAUAGCAUUGCCGUUAUAGCAUUGUUGAUAGCAUUGCCGUUAGCAUUGCCGUUAUGGCAUUGUUGAUAGCAUUGCCGUUAGCAUUGUUGAUAGCAUAGCCGUUAGCAUUGCCGUUAUGGCAUUGUUGAUAGCAUUGCCGUUAGCAUUGUUGAUAGCAUAGCCGUUAGCAUUGACGUUAUGGCAUUGUUGAUAGCAUUGUUGAUAGCAUUGCCGUUAGCAUUGCCAUUAUGGCAUUGUUGAUAGCAUUGCCGUUAGCAUUGUCGCGCAGGGGUCACGAGCAGAGCCAUGCAGGGAAGGCGUUUGGGGGGGUGAGGGGUGUCGGGGGGGGGGUACUCCCCCCCCCCCGCCCACGACCCCAACCCUCCCAUCUCUGCCAUCUCUGCACUCGAGCGACAAUGCAAACUCCGGUAUUAAACUUUGUUCAUUUGAUUUUUAAAUCGACGACGACGAUGCCGACGAUUAAAAAAAUCAUCAAGCGUGACGGUGAUCACGCCUGCCCACCAAAAAACGACCAGAGCGCGACUUUCUGUGGCGAGACUGAAACUUGCCGAGUGAAAACUCGGACAAAGAUGACUUAAUAACGGUGUUAAGAGACCACAGCGCUCAGAGGGAGAACAACAAUGGUAAUUUGCAGUGUAUGUCUUUUUAAAAGACUUCUCGAGUUCACUGAUUGGGUGACCAAAUCAGGGCGGCACGAUGGCCAGAUGUUAACUACCU